rnacentral:lncRNA from 1 species
CUUGAUAGUGUUGAAAUAGAGCAAUGAUCUAUUUGAAGUCUUCCUGUAACAACUUAAGAGUUUUAGAUGUAUUGGUUCUCAACAUGGUAUAGAGUCAGGUUUGACGGAGGUCUGAAGUUCGACUCUCCGUCAACUCCAGUAUUUGAUAGUGUUGAAAUAGAGCAAUGAUCUAUUUGAAGUCUUCCUGUAACAACUUAAGAGUUUUAGAUGUAUUGGUUCUCAACAUGGUAUAGAGUCAGGUUUGACGGAGGUCUGAAGUUCGACUCUCCGUAAGAGUUUUAGAUGUAUUGGUUCUCAACAUGGUAUAGAGUCAGGUUUGACGGAGGUCUGAAGUUCGACUCUCCGUCAACUCCAGUAUUCUUACAAUUUAAUACUAGCCUUUAACCCCGUGGGCAAAGCACGGGCGGGUAUAUAUUUAAUUUUUAA